GUUUAAAGUGCUUUGUGUUUAUUUUGGCCCCUGGGAGCGAGGCCGGAGGAGGAAGAUGGUUUCCAUGCGCCACAGAGACACGGUUUGAGUGACAGUCCCGACACCUAAUGACUGAACUUUCACUGCCUCAGAUGGGCCCACGGUUAGAGAUGAUCGCCGGGGUUACAUCCCAACGUGUGGGUUUGGGCCUGAAAGACGUGCCAGACCUGCUGCCAAAGCAUCGGCCUCCACCUCACCCUGCAGACAUGGCUGAACACACACGCAUGCAUACACACACAAACACGCACACACACGGCCUUUAAAAUCACGCACAUCUCGUAUAUGUGUUCUGAAGCGUUACUUUACUUCCUCAUAUUUCCAUACAUCCGCCAUGCAUAUGUAUGUGUGUCCUUUUUCCA